UUGAUUUGGAAGGGAUAUGGUGAAUUAUGCCUUUGCGUGUUCAUUCCGGAUUUACAUGGACUCUUGAUGGAUCAAGAGAUGCCAAUAUGUAUCAACAUCCGAAGAAAAAGAUCUUGGGAAGACAUGGUCUCGAUAAGGCACUCGAUGACUGUAUUGAUGAUGAUUUUCCAUCAAUCGGCUUAGGCGCUCUAUAACUAGUGAGGCCUACAUAUACUCCCAUGAUUAGUCAAGGUCUUUGCUCUAAAGAGAGAUCCGUUGUUUUGUCUAAAGCAAGAUGACAAAUAUGUGUUAAGAGAUGGAGUUCCCAUCUAAGUACAAUUAGACGCAUCAAUGUACUCAACACAAUACGAAAGACUUGACAUCUCAUUCGCUAUGAAAAGUUGUAAAGUUAAGUGUAGCUAUGCGCCCACGCAACGCCAAUGUAAUAGCAGUAACUCCUUUUUCAAUACUUAAUGGUAUGAAAGGUUAAGGCUUAUUCUAUCCCUACAUAAGAAAGACACAUCAAAAGCGAAAUCAGAAUCUGCCAAGUUUUGUAGGUCAACUUCCACGGGACCUAUAGGAAAUCUCACUCACUGGAAAAUGGUGAAAUUAGUACCAUUGGAAAGGUCUAUGUGUCUACUUUCCAGAGACACCAACCAUUUGAUCAUACCUAUCAUAUUGAGUGAGUUAUGGCCGUUUUCGUAAAGUAGGACGAAUCUGUCCGAGAAUCUGAUUUUGGCAAAACAGUCAACUUCGACGGGACUUUGUGAACAGCUCCUGAUGAACCAGAAUGUGUGUAAUAUAUGGUUGGAAAGAUAAAUGAGUCUAGUUUCCAAAACCAUUUACGGUUCGUUCAUAUGUAUUUCCUCGAGGAAGUUACAACUGUUUUAGUAAUUGAAGGUCAUGCUGCGCGGAAAUCUGAUUUCCUGCACGAACUUAUGUUUUGAGUUCACAAGCGACAUUCUCCUCAAGAUCUAAGUGUAAAAGAUCAUUUGAGGACAAUACGGCAUGAUUUAGUUAAUCAUUGCCCAAUGCCACAUUUGAAGACAUGUUAAAAAGCAUUGACAUGCUAAGUUGUUGAAACUUCCGUGAUUAGUAAGAAUCAGGAAGAGCCCUAUGAUUGAUGUAAAGAUCAAGGGCGGUGCGAACUUCAAGGGGAGUCUAGCACAUACAUACAUGUCACUAUCAAAUGUGAAUGGUGCGUUAUACUCUUUUUCUCCUACGAUCAAGGUUCAGUUUUUCUCCCACAGGGUUUUUGUGACUUGACGAGGUUUUUGACGAGGCAACAUAUCAGCACCAUCGGCAUAUCAGCGCGCGGCACAAGGGGGAGUGUUCUAGGAUACUCUCUAUGUGUG
rnacentral:lncRNA from 1 species